UUUUGACCUCAGUUCAGACAAGGCUACCCGCCGAAUUUAAGCAUAUUACUAAGCGGAGGAAAAGAAAAUAACAAUGAUUCCCCUAGUAACGGCGAGCGAACCGGGAAGAGCCCAACUUGGAAAUCUGGAGGCUUGUCCUUCCGAAUUGUAGUCUAGAGUAGUGCCAUCUGCGGCUGGCCGGUCCCAAGUUCCCUGGAAAGGGACGUUAAGAGAGGGUGAGAGCCCCGUCGAGGCCGGUUUAGUCGCUCCACGAUGCGCUUACAAGGAGUCGGGUUGUUUGGGAAUGCAGCCCUAGGCGGGAGGUAAAUUCCUUCUAAGGCUAAAUAUUGGCGAGAGACCGAUAGCGAACAAGUACCGCGAGGGAAAGAUGAAAAGACCUUUGAAAAGAGAGUUAAAAAGUACCUGAAAUUGUUGAGGGGGAAGCGAUUAAAACCAGCGGGUGCUCCCUAGGUAGGCUUUGCCACACGCUAGGGGCUGGUCAACGUGGGUUAGUCGGGGGGGACAUUACUCCUGACUGACCGAGGACUCGACGUUGGCGGAAUGGUUUUAAUCGGCCCGUCUAGAAACACGGACCAAGGAGUCUAA
rnacentral:rRNA from 1 species